rnacentral:tRNA from 1 species
GCCUGGGUGGCUCAUUUGGUUAAGCGUCUGACUUCAGUUCAGGUCAUAAUCUUACAAUUCGUGGGUUCAAGCCCCACAUCAGGCU